GCUGUCCUGCUCUGUUAAAGAGAGAGAGAGAGAGAGAAAAAAACAGAAGAAUAAUGUCGCAUCAACAAGUUAAACAACCGUGCGGUCUCUCAGCAGACAGCGGGUGAUCCGUCUUCUCUCCCCCUCUUUCUCUCUCUCUCUCUCGCUCGCUUUCUUUCUCUCCCUUUCUCCUCUCGCUUUACGCGCUCGGACGCAUGCGGUUUUUCCUGCCCGUUGCAGCUUCUCAAUAAACUCCUGUUCUCGUCGACUGCAAGACCACCC